rnacentral:rRNA from 1 species
GACGAACGCUGGCGGCGUGCUUAACACAUGCAAGUCGAACGGAAAGGCCCUUCGGGGUACUCGAGUGGCGAACGGGUGAGUAGCACGUGGGUGAUCUGCCCUGCACUUUGGGAUAAGCCUGGGAAACUGGGUCUAAUACCGAAUAGGACCACGCGCUUCAUGGUGUGUGGUGGAAAGCUUUUGCGGUGUGGGAUGGGCCCGCGGCCUAUCAGCUUGUUGGUGGGGUAAUGGCCUACCAAGGCGACGACGGGUAGCCGGCCUGAGAGGGUGACCGGCCACACUGGGACUGAGAUACGGCCCAGACUCCUACGGGAGGCAGCAGUGGGGAAUAUUGCACAAUGGGCGCUAGCCUGAUGCAGCGACGCCGCGUGAGGGAUGACGGCCUUCGGGUUGUAAACCUCUUUCACCAGGGACGAAGCGUAAGUGACGGUACCUGGAGAAGAAGCACCGGCCAACUACGUG